rnacentral:rRNA from 1 species
UAAUGCUUGGGAAUCUAGCUUAUGGAGGGGGAUAACUACGGGAAACUGUAGCUAAUACCGCGUAGAAUCGAGAGAUGAAAGUGUGGGACCUUCGGGCCACAUGCCAUAGGAUGAGCCCAAGUGGGAUUAGGUAGCUGGUGAGGUAAAGGCUCACCAAGCCGACGAUCUCUAGCUGGUCUGAGAGGAUGACCAGCCACACUGGGACUGAGACACGGCCCAG